rnacentral:rRNA from 1 species
GUGGGGAAUAUUGCACAAUGGGGGAAACCCUGAUGCAGCGACGCCGCGUGAGUGAUGAAGUAUUUCGGUACGUAAAGCUCUAUCAGCAGGAACGAUAAUGACGGUACCUGACUAAGAAGCACCGGCUAAAUACGUGCCAGCAGCCGCGGUAAUACGUAUGGUGCAAGCGUUAUCCGGAUUUACUGGGUGUAAAGGGAGCGUAGGUGGCCUGUCAAGCCAGAAGUGAAAACCCGGGGCUCAACUCCGCGGAUUGCUUUUGGAACUGAUGGGCUGGAGUGCAGGAGGGGUAAGCGGAAUUCCCAGUGUAGCGGUGAAAUGCGUAGAUAUUGGGAAGAACACCGGAGGCGAAGGCGGCUUACUGGACUGUAACUGACACUGAGGCUCGAAGGCGUGGGGAGCAAACAGG